GACGAACGCUGGCGGCGUGCCUAACACAUGCAAGUCGAGCGGAGAUGUACUGAAGAUUUAUCGGAUGUACAUCUUAGCGGCGGACGGGUGAGUAACGCGUGGGCAACCUGCCUUUCACUGGGGGAUAACACAGGGAAACCUGUGCUAAUACCGCAUGACAUCACGUAGGGCAUCCUAUGUGAUCAAAGGAGAGAUCCGGUGGAAGAUGGGCCCGCGUCCAAUUAGCUGGUUGGUGAGGUAAAGGCUCACCAAGGCGACGAUUGGUAGCCGAACUGAGAGGUUGAUCGGCCACAUUGGGACUGAGACACGGCCCAGACUCCUACGGGAGGCAGCAGUGGGGAAUAUUGCGCAAUGGGGGGAACCCUGACGCAGCAACGCCGCGUGAAGGAAGAAGGUCUUCGGAUUGUAAACUUCUUUGAUGAGGGACGAAUAAAGUGACGGUACCUCAAAACAAGCCACGGCUAACUACGUGCCAGCAGCCGCGGUAAUCAUA
rnacentral:rRNA from 1 species